AGUUAAGUAGAAAAUUGAUUCAUCAAUGGGCUAAAAUGAUGUGGGCAGAGCUAAGGGCUCUAUUUAGCUAGUAAUAUUCAACGGAAUAUCAAAAUCGAGGAAUAUUUUCCUGUGCAGAGUGGACAAUGCCGAGGGCGCGCAUCCUGGAAGGGGUGGUCAGACGGACAGAGGUCGCCCCUUCCCUCGGACUCCAUACGACGGAUCCGAGCUAUAAUCAUGGCCGGAAGCUCAGAUUCGAUUGGAGACUAGACGACUGGUUGACAGCUAGGACUACGUGUACUGGAGCGACUGGAACACUAGAGGACAUUGAUCAAGACGGGCCAAUCACACAGAUGUCGACAAGGAUAUGCUCUGCAUGCCCCCAGCUACGACAGACUGCCCGAAUGUGCCGCUGCCGGUGUCCGGCAAGACGACAAGACCGGAGUGGAACGGCGUGCAUCCGGCCUGUAGGCUAGAUAAUUGCGCUGUGACGAAAAGACAGCCGGCGUAUCAGUUCAGCGGACAGUCAGGCGAGGGCAGCGACAAGGCUCUGGUCUGCGAUGGUACAACCAACUGUGACAAUGGCCACGAUGAGGUCGACAGCAGACUUUCAGUGUCACAUCAACAAGUUGAGUGGAAAGCCACGAUAUCUGCCCAAAUUCUUAACCAACAAUAUCCUACUCCACCUUCCCACAGCUUUGCAUUGGCCGCCCUGCUCUACGAUGGCUGGGAACUGAACCGAUGGUGCGAAAGAUUCGUUCGAUAUUUUUAUUGCAGGGCGGCGCUUGGCCCUGCCUCGGAUGUUCUCGCGCACCGAGCCAAAGAAUCGAGCUCAGCUUUAAUGGCUCCAUCGAAGAAAAUAAAUAAGUAAGCAGUAAGCAUAGCUAAAAAUGAUUCAAAAUCUCUGCAUACUGAAAUGAGAUGAAACAAGAAACAAGUAUUGAAAGAAAAUAUAUAUUUUCAUAUUUAUUCAUGAAAUAUGGAAAACUCAUUCCACACCACCCAAGAGGUCGAGUUUUUGGGUGGGGCCCAAAGCACCUUGCGAACUUGUGCAGCAACCGUCUCGUAUAAAGGUAUUCGUCAUUUGCAUCGCUGGACCUAGGGCUUCCAGCAAACCUUCUGCAGGGGUCGAUCUGGUGGAACACCAUGGAUGAG